rnacentral:snoRNA from 1 species
GUUCGGCAUGAUAACUAGAUGACGGUCUCACAAACACUACGACCAAAGUCCUUUAAGUUGCCGAUAUAUUGAUUUGCGAGGAUCUUACACGUUCUCUGAUUUUCUCCUGACGUUACACGUUUAAUCUAUCGCAACAUAC